rnacentral:rRNA from 1 species
GUGGGGAAUCUUCCGCAAUGGGCGAAAGCCUGACGGAGCAACGCCGCGUGAGUGAUGACGGCCUUCGGGUUGUAAAACUCUGUGAUCCGGGACGAAAAGGCAGAGUGCGAAGAACAAACUGCAUUGACGGUACCGGAAAAGCAAGCCACGGCUAACUACGUGCCAGCAGCCGCGGUAAUACGUAGGUGGCAAGCGUUGUCCGGAAUUAUUGGGCGUAAAGCGCGCGCAGGCGGCUUCCCAAGUCCCUCUUAAAAGUGCGGGGCUUAACCCCGUGAUGGGAAGGAAACUGGGAAGCUGGAGUAUCGGAGAGGAAAGUGGAAUUCCUAGUGUAGCGGUGAAAUGCGUAGAGAUUAGGAAGAACACCGGUGGCGAAGGCGACUUUCUGGACGAAAACUGACGCUGAGGCGCGAAAGCGUGGGGAGCAAACAGGA